AAGCGCCUGCGCGCCUAUCGAUUCCGUGGGUUCCCGCAGGAACACCGGACGCAACGCCUUGCUUCCUGCGUAUCAUUCUAGUCAGAACACUACAAUGUCCUUGGCUCGCGAUCCUUUUGCCGAAGAUUGGAAUUUUUUUCUUAACCGAGUCGAGGAAAGCUUCGCAAAACUCCGAAAUUGCACGGAAGCUUUUUGAAAACAUUCUCAGAGAUGCGAAACUUCCGAUUAGACUCGUCGACGAACAAGCCAAUAGUCCUGUUUGCAACCACGAUUGCGUGUAUUCGCAUCCCCUGCAGCAAUCACAUUACAAAAAGGUGGGACUUCGAGCUCGGCUCGAGAGGGAUGACACGUGUCGAGCGAAGUGAUUCGACGAUCAUUCAAAUGCGGCACUGUCAAUCGGUAUGAUUAAUAAUAUAUAAAGAAAUUCAUCAUAUUAUCUACAUUAUUAAAAUAGGGGGGAUAAUUGCUUUAUUAAUAUCAAUUGUAGUGUUGUAUUUUUUACCUUUAUAUAAGAUAUUAGUUCAGUCUUUAAGAUUUUAUCCUUUUAGACAGGUUGUUUAUUGGAUAUUUAUUAAUAUUUUUAUUAUAUGUUGACAUAAGCUAGGGCGCAGGUUAUUAAGGUUCUUUAUGUAAUUAUUAGACAAUUUCUUUCAGUAAUAUAUUUUAUAUUUUUUAUUAUAAUAUAUUGAACACGAUAUGUAUACUAUAAUAUAUAAACACCGAUAAAUUUUAUAUAAUGCGAUGAACUGCAACUUUCUAUUUUUUUACUCGCAAUAAAAGAAUAGCAUUCUUUCUUACUGUCAAUUGAUUAUUGAUCCACAGAUUAUUAAUCUAUUUGUAUACUUUGUAUAAUUAAUAUAUUUGAAUUACAUAUA